rnacentral:sRNA from 1 species
GCCCUCCUUCAAGCCGCCUCACGUGUUCUGGAAAAAGUGGCCUCUGACCCCCACCAUGCUUCAGAAAUCAAUAAAGAAGAUUUCGGAAAAGGCUCUGGACCAUCAGGCUCUGCAAAUUCAGGCCCAUCAGGCGGCGGCGGUGGCGGUGGCGGCGGCGGCCAAUCCAACAAUAAUUCAUCAUUCUCAUCAGUUCCAGCUUUCAAUGGAGGUGGUGGAGGUGGUGGUGGAAUGAAUGUCGGUGCAGCAGGAUUCGGAGGUGGUGGUGGACAGGGUUACGGUGGUCCACAAUUUGGUGGACAGGGAGGACCACAAUUUGGAAAUGGGAAUAAUAAGUAUCCGAUGAGUGGGCUUGGAAAUAAUGAACUACUCUCAUUCUUGGAUAAUCUUCAAUCAACUCUUCGUACUUCUGGAUUCAAUGAGCAAAGUGUUUCAGAGGUUAUGCAGGCUAUGCAGG